UCUCCUCUUUCUCUUCCAAAACGGUUUCUCCUCUUCUUUCAAAACCGGCACAUUCUCUUCACUCACCAUUCUCUUCAAUGAACGACUGUUUGUUUUCCCAUUUUCAAAACGAUUCAAUCUAUCUUCAUUUACCAUUCUCUUCAUCUCCAUUCAACUUUCGCAACCGCCCACAUCCACCUCUGCCUACUCCGCUCUAGAUCAAAACCUGCGUCGCCUGCAACUGCUGAUUGAUAAGGGGUGGGAAAGAUUUUGUUUCAUUGAAAUCAAAUUUGUUGACGAAAACCUAACUUUAUAUCCGAUGGAGGUGGGGUUGUGGCUUUUGCUUCAACAUGGAUGAAUCUAACUCAAUGUAUGUCUCUGCACGAUUUUAUAGAGUAUAAGAUAUUGGUAGUUAUUAAGUGAUUUUGUUUUGUUUAGGUAUGGUUUAUUGUUCUUUAAAUUUACAAAGAUGAAAUUGAUAAACCCUAAUCCCUAAUUUUUCAUUGUUUUCAAUGUCUCCGCUUCCUUUCUGAUUUAUGUUUUCAGAUGGCAAUGAACUAAGUAUGGAGCAAUCCACCAUAAAAGGAUAGAAAGAUGUUUAAUGUUGGAUCUGUUUAUUUCAUUUCAUCAUUCUUUUACAAAACUACUGACCUGCCAAUUUUUUUAGUUAUUAGAAUUUUGGUCUUCAGUUAAUUGUCCACUAUGGAUUUACUUUUCGUAUGAAGGUAAGUAUCAAUAGAUGCUGAUUAAAAACGUACAUCAGAGGCUUUGGAGAGAAGAGAAUAAAAGAUUCUUGAUGCUUCCAGCAAUGAACCAUGGGGUCCUCAUGGAACGCUUCUUGCAGACAUUGCUCAGGCAACCAGAAACCCAUAAGCUUUGGCCUCUCAAUUUUAUGCUAGAGUGGAAAUCAAAGUCAAAGGAUUGUGAAAAGGAAAUCCAUGAAUGGAAGAAGAAAAAUUCUGCAGCCACUACAAACUUAUCCUAACUGAAUUGUCAGAUAAGCUCAAAGGAGGCACAGAUUGAGCAGAUGUUUGGGCAAAAGCAUGAGAUAAACGAGAAGUGUGAACUAGAGCAGAUUAGCCUUCCAACCAUAUCAGAUCCUAUGGAUACUGAUAGCUCAACACCGGGUCCAGUUUAUGACUUUGAUCAACUCAGCAGGCCAAAAAAAGAUAGGAAACCCUCUGGCAGGGAUAAAAUAGAGAUAAAUUGGCGUGGACAACAUAUGAAAAAUUUCUUAGGGAAAUGUUGAUGGUAAGAAAUGCAAUAACAAGGGUGUGGCUGAAGCAAUUUUAGGAACUUUAGGUCUUUCUGAUAUAGGACAAGUUUUUCCCGUUAAUGAUCCUAAGUGGAAGGGUUGUGACUCUUCUGUGUUCGUCCAUGAAUCUAUGAGUAAUAUUCUAUUUCUAUGUAUAUAUA